UGGGUCGCGGCUGAGGUGGGCUCGGCCUCCGUCCCGAGGCACCGGAGCACCGAGCACUGGAGCACUAGAGCACGGAGUACAGACCACUGGAGUACCGGAGCACCGAGCACCCGACCCCCGGAGUACCGGAGCUCAGAGUACCGAGCACUGGAGCACCAGAGCACGGAGUACCGAGCACUGGAGUACUGGAGCACCGAGCACCCGAGCCCUGGAGCACCGGAGCUCGGAGUACCGAGCACUGGAGGACCAAAGGACGGAGUACCGAGCACUGGAGUACCGGAGCAUCGGGCACCCGAGCCCUGGAGCACUGAGCACUGGAGCAGCAGAACACGGUGUAUCGAGUACUGGAGUACCGGAGCACUGAGCACCCGAGCCCUAGAGCCCCGGAGCUCGGAGUACCGAGUACUGGAGCACCGGAGCACCGAAUACCGAGCACUGGAGUACCGGAGCACCAAGCACCCGAGCCCUGGAGUACCAGAGAUCGGAGUACCGAGCACUGAAGCACCGGAGCACCAGAGCACGGAGAACCGAGCACUGGAGCACAAGAACAGGGAAGCCCUGCCAGAGGAGACGCGUGGCUCCAGGACUGUCCCCGCUGAGCCCCGGCUCCCGGCCCCAUGUGGUGCAGGUGGCCCUCAGGUGUAGGUACACUUAAUGAAACAAAUGAAAGAAGAACAAGAAAAGGCCAGGAUGACAGAAUCUAGAAGAAACCGAGAGAUUGCACAGCUUAAAAAAAGACCAACGGAAGCAAGGCCAUCAACUCAGGCUUUGGAAGCUCAGAAAAGAAAUCAAGAAGUGCUUCUUUGACGUAAGAGCAAAGAGGUAUGGGAACAGAACUUCCAGUUACUUCCAGGAAAGCUGUGUGACUUUGGAGAGAAAUAGAAUGAUUUCAGAGAGAAGGCAAAUGAUGUAUUUUCCACACUGUUUCAAGUUACAGCUCUUCAGCAGCAAGUAAGGCCCAUGUCUAAUAAAGUAUCUGGGAAGGUUAGUCGAAAACUGAGUGACCCUGAUUCUCCUGCUCAAGACCUGAGUUCCACUGUAGCUGCCGGACUCCUCGAUUUGACUAAGGCUGGAUCCCCACAGAAAAUGAGAAUUCCUGUUGCAAGAGUGUAAGCAUUACCACCAACUGCAGCCUAUGGAACCUGGUAAAAUGUUUCCAAGGUGAUGUGAGAGCAUUUUCAUGCGAGGGUUGUUCUCCAAUGAGCCACUCAAUUUGAAACAUUUGUUGUGUGGGUGAUCCAUUCUAUAAGAAUUUCAAAUAAAAAUGUUUGUCAUAAAAAUGUUCACAGGAAGAAAUACCUGAAAACGGGAAUGACCGGUCGAGUGUUCAUGUCAGAAACUGUCUGGAUGAAGUAGGGUCACAGAUGUCAUUAUGCAGAGAAUGACAGUUUCCAAUAUGGAGAGUGAUAUGAGCAGUCUUCUAAAGAUAUGACUUAUCAGAUAUUUUACUGUUGCCCUUGCUCUAAAAAUAGACAUAUCAAUUCUAUCUGAUUUAAUACCCUAUUGCCAGAAAAAAAAAUUGUAUUUUGGAUAAUUCCAGACCUUUUAUUCCAAUUUCAGGGUCUCAAGGGGUCACUUUCCCCCUUUCAAAACCCUAGCUUGGGAAGUCAUUGAAAUCUUGUCUUGCAGAGUCCCUCAGAAAAAUAAAAGUCUAUUAUCUUUGUAUUGCCAUUUUCCUUUUGUAAUUUUAUUUACCAAUUUUUUUGGGGUGGAGGGAAAUAGCAAUGUGCAGAACUCACAAAAAGAAGAGAGAAACUUUCAAAAAGAAGAGAGUGAGCCAUCAAAAAGAAUGGAUAUGUGGAUAAAAAUAAGGAAAUGGAAUCACUAACUGCAAAUGUCGAUCACAUCAAUGGUAGUAUUUCAGAUUGUCAAGCCAGUAUCAUGCAGAUGGCAGAAGCAAAGGCUAGCACCGUCAGGAGGUCAUAAUCCUUAUCCUUGAAGAAGACUGAGUUUUUUGGGGUUUUUUAUUUUGUGAUUUUUUUUUUCACAAGUGCCCCCAACUGGGCCCUAAUUCAGGUUUCCCAGUCAGUAUUUUCCAGGCUCUGCCACUUGUCAGUUGUGUGACCUUGGACAAGUC